ensembl:snoRNA
UGGACCAUUAAUGAUGACUGAUGGCAUAUGAGUCAUAUACGAUGAAUACUGUGUGUCUGAAACUCUGAGGUCCAG